rnacentral:rRNA from 1 species
AGAGUUUGAUCCUGGCUCAGGAUGAACGCUGGCGGCGUGCCUAAUACAUGCAAGUCGAGCGGUAAGGCCUCUUCGGAGGUACACGAGCGGCGGACGGCUGAGUAACGCGUAGGAACGUACCCCAAAGUGAGGGAUAAGCACCGGAAACGGUGUCUAAUACCGCAUGUGAUCUACGGAUUAAAGCUUUAUGCGCUUUGGGAACGGCCUGCGUAUGAUUAGCUUGUUGGUGAGGUAAUGGCUCACCAAGGCGACGAUCAUUAGCUGGUCUGAGAGGAUGAUCAGCCAGACUGGGACUGAGACACGGCCCAGACUCCUACGGGAGGCAGCAGUAGGGAAUUUUCCACAAUGGGCGAAAGCCUGAUGGAGCAACGCCGCGUGCAGGAUGAAUGCCUUCGGGUUGUAAACUGCUUUUAUCUGUGACGAUAAUGACGGUAGCAGAUGAAUAAGGAUCGGCUAACUCCGUGCCAGCAGCCGCGGUCAUACGGAGGAUCCAAGCGUUAUCCGGAAUUACUGGGCGUAAAGAGUUGGCGUAGGUGGCAUAGUAAGUUGGGUAGUGAAAGCAUAUGGCUCAACCAUAUAUACAUUACCAAAACUGCUAAGCUAGAGGACGAGAGAGGGUAAAGAUGGAAUUCCCAGUGGUAGGAGUUGAAAUCCGUAGAUAUUUUGGGGGAGGAACCACCGAAUGGGGCGUAAGGCAGUCUACCUGGCUCGUUUCUAACACUACGCACGAAAGCCGUGGGGGAGCAAAACGGGAUAGAUA